rnacentral:rRNA from 1 species
CCUACGGGAGGCAGCAGUGAGGAAUAUUGGUCAAUGGACGCAAGUCUGAACCAGCCAUGCCGCGUGAAGGAAGAAGGCUCUAUGGUUUGUAAACUUCUUUUGUAUGGGUGUAAAGUGCGGUACGUGUUUCUUUUUGAAUGUAUCAUACGAAUAAGCAUCGGCUAACUCCGUGCCAGCAGCCGCGGUAAUACGGAGGAUGCAAGCGUUAUCCGGAUUUAUUGGGUUUAAAGGGUGCGUAGGUGGUUGAUUAAGUCAGUGGUGAAAGUCUGAGGCUAAACCGCAAAAUUGCAUCUGAAACUGGCAGGCUAGAGUAUAGUAGAGGUGGGCGGAAUGGGUGGUGUAGCGGUGAAAUGCUUAGAGAUCACACAGAACUCCGAUUGCGAAGGCAGCUCACCAAACUACAACUGACACUGAGGCACGAAAGUGUGGGGAGCAAACAGGAUUAGAUACCCUAGUAGUC